UACGUAGGGUCCGAGCGUUGUCCGGAAUUACUGGGCGUAAAGAGCUCGUAGGUGGUUUGUCGCGUUGUUCGUGAAAACUCACAGCUUAACUGUGGGCGUGCGGGCGAUACGGGCAGACUGGAGUACUGCAGGGGAGACUGGAAUUCCUGGUGUAGCGGUGGAAUGCGCAGAUAUCAGGAGGAACACCGGUGGCGAAAGGCGGGGUCUCUGGGGCCGA
rnacentral:rRNA from 1 species